AAAAGUAGAUGAUUUCCGUUUGCGUUUUGAAAAAGAGUUUAAAAUGCAUAGCGGGAUAACUUUUAAUGAAGAUGACACCAGUGCAUAUCAGCAGCAACUGAAAAAUGCUUUGCUGACGGGCUUUCGCCCUGAAAUUGGGAGAUGGAUAAGAAAACACCUGGUUGAAAUUGAAACUGUCCCUGUCUCACAAUUAACCACGUGGGCAAUUCAUGCUGAAAAAAUCUUUGAAAAACCUAAUCAAGGAUUAGAUGUUUUUCAGCUGGAUGAAUUUGGAGGUUUAGGAACCUCUGCCUUUUUCAACGGCCCAAUGAAAGGUCGCAGAAAAAGCAGAGACAGAGGAGGUCGCAAUAGGCGACGAACCAAAAACAAUACCCCACAAAAUCCACGCAGUCCAAAUGGCUGCUGGAUUUGUGGCGGUACUGGCCACUGGGCAAGAAACUGCACUUUAAAUAAUGCUGCACGGGACAACAGGAGGGGUGGUGGAGUGAGGAGACCUCAAACAGGAGUAAUCCUCAGCAUGAUCAGAGUUUAUCACACCCCAAAAAGACAAACCACCACACCAAAUUGAUGAAAUGGUGGACAUAUGUGCAGCUUGGGACACGUUAAGUGGAAUCAUAAAAUAAAUUGACUUUCUGUGCGAUACCGGUGCAUAAAUAUAUAUAUAUAUAUUUUAACGUUACUAAAAUUAGGUUUAAACCUCACAAGUGACAAAUAAUUCAUUUUAAGUAUACUACUGUGGAAAUGAAUUAAACGCCUCUAAAUAUUGAAAAUAAUUGAUAAUUGAAUUUAACUCAAAUUUAAUUUAGAGUUUAAUCCUAUAAAGAAUCUCAAAAUUGAUUGAAAUUGGUUUGGUUUUUGUGUGAUUUUUGUUGAUGCUUUUAUGAAUGCAAGUUAGUUCUAUAAAGAAAAACUGCUAAAGAAUUGAGUAACGGAUGAAACUAUUGACCAUUUCAUAUUAGAUAUAAAUAACUUACGUUGUUAACUUGACUGAAAUGCAAGGUUAAGUGGAAGUCUGAGAUUUUAAGCAACCUGAUAGAUAUAACUGGGUACUAAAAAUUGAUGAUUGUGAAUGACAGCAACACUUUCUAGAUUUCAGUCUAAAACAUUUUAAUCUAGAUUUGAUUUAUAGUCAAAUUCAAAAGAAAAAUCUUGGAUUAGAGGAUUUGAGGUUUGGUUAAUUUAAAGAUGGACAUUUUUAUUCUUGAGGAAUUCGAUAGAAAUGUUGAAAGCUGCUGAAUUUAACAAAGAAUAACCAAAAUAUAAUCCUGCAAUUAAAAGACGUGUCUGCUAAAAUAUCUUCUAUAGUGAACCUAUGAGUUCACCUGUCCUCCCAAACACUUUAUUAGAAGCUUACGUGUCUGUGACACAUGGGCAAUGCCAUGUGUUAAACGGGGGGGAAAAGGGAAAUGAGGUGAUAAAAAUAAUAUAAUAUAAAUUGGUGCCUAAUUAUGCGGAAAUUGUGGCACCUUUAAACAAAUUAAUGUAUAGUGAAAAUCUCAAAAUAUAAAGCAGGCCCUUGUGUCAACCUCUGCCCUAGCUUUACCAAAUUAUCAAAAACCUUUUGUUCAGACGGUGGAUUUCAAAGGUCAA